AUAAUUCCAAGCACAGCUGCCUUGCAUGAAUCACACUCGUAGCAUCACAAGUAGUUCUAAGGUGCUGAUAUAAGAAUUCACCUCUGCCUCUAGCUGAAAUAGGUUCUCAUGGCAAAAAGAGCAAAGCAAAUGAAAGCAAGUGUAAAACUCACAAGUAAAAUGGUGCACUUGUGAGUGCGGUUAUAAUUUUCAAUACUUGUAAAUGACAAUAGAUUUAUUUUCAUAUUAGUGUUUGACUUUUUG